rnacentral:tRNA from 1 species
GCCUGGGUGGCUCAGUUGGUUAAGCAUCUGACUUCAACUCAGUUCAUGAUCUCACAGCUCGUGAGUUUGAGCCCCAUAUCAGGCU